GGAUCGCUUUGUCAAUAGCCUGGUUCGCCAUCGUGACCGAACACCCCUGCUUGAAUGCGAGAUUCUGUCUAAUCCUGGUUGGCAGAUGGAUGAGGAUGAGUUUGACCCGGAUGAGUUGCUCCGUUAUGCUUUAUCGUGCAAAGUGAGGGUUCUUCGACUCAAAAUCUCAAGUGGUCCUUAUUUGCGGCUAUCAACCGGGUCUCUCAUAUCUGAGCACUUGACAAGGAUAACUCUUUAUCGUGUUGAGUUUGUGGAUUUCUCUCUAGAUGUUUCCUGCUGUCAAUCACUCAAGGAGUUGGAGAUGAACAGAUGUGAAAUCAACAGUGAGAACAUUGGGACUGACUUUCCAAAAUCUUUACGACUUCUAAGAAUCAGAAAUUCAGGUUUUCUCCCUGAGCAAGACCGGUCUUUUAUUUCUGCGCCAGGUCUGGUUACCCUGGAACUAGCUGACUGUAACGAUUGGACUCCGUGGCUUAAGAGCUUGCCAUCAUUGGUAACUGCAUUUAUCAGGAUUAGAUUUAAGUGUUUUUGCGCGGGCUGUGAUGAGCCAUGAGUGAAGUGUCGUGAUUUGGAGAUGGGGUGCUUCUCGAAGGUUUGUCAGGUGUUACAAACUUAGAGCUGAUAAGUCAUCACUUUAUGGUUUUCAGAAAGGAGAUAAAUUGUUACCCUACGUUUAGCAAGCUCAAAACAUUGCUGCUCGGUGACUGGUGUAUGGCUUCUAACUUCAGUGGACUACUUUACUUUCUCCAGCACUCACCAAUUCUAGAGAGGUUUACACUUCAACUUGGAAUUUCCUCCAAGAAAACUAAAAUGCAUGAAGUCUACAAGCCAAGGAAACAAUUCUUAGUGUCAAAGCAUCUCAAGUCAUUUGAAAUCACAUAUUUCAAGAAAGAUGGAAGGGUUCACCAAAUAUUGAACUUCCUUGUUUACCAUGGAAUACUUCCGGAACUGAUAAACAUCGAAAGGAAGCCCUAUGUUGACUACUUCAGUUUUGAGCGCAAGCAGUAGUUCAGACAUCUACAGCUGCUUCUCUAUUCAGACUCCCAUGUCUUUGAAUCUUUCACCACAAGGUCUUGUGUUUUGUCAACCAAGGUCUGCGUGCAACUCAUAUCAUAUUCGCAUAAAGCAUGAACUCUUGCUGAAUUUUUAUGUAGCUCGCCUGGAUUCAGUUGCAAAGGCUCGAACGCCAUCACUGUCCUGUUUGCACCUAUUGCUCGUUUCCUGAAAUCUGUUCGGCCUGAACUGAAUGACCUGCUUAAGGCCUACGUUCUAAUGACCUGCUUAAAUCUGUAUCCACUAUCCAGUUCUAUCUAGUGAACUUUAAAUGAUAUACUUCGAAAGUUCUAUCGAGUGAACUUUAAAUGAUAUACUUGGAAGACUG